rnacentral:rRNA from 1 species
UUAUUACGAAGAGUUUGAUCCUGGCUCAGGAUGAACGCUGGCGGCGUGCCUAAUACAUGCAAGUCGAACGGAAACCUUCGGGUUUUAGUGGCGAACGGGUGAGUAACACGUAAGCAACCUACCCUAAAGACGAGGAUAACCAUUGGAAACAGUGGCUAAGACUGGAUAGGAAGAUAAAAGGCAUCUUGUAUCUUUUAAAAGACCUAGUUAAUAGGUAUGCUUUAGGAGGGGCUUGCGCCAUAUUAGUUAGUUGGUAGGGUAAUGGCCUACCAAGACGAUGAUGUGUAGCUGGACUGAGAGGUUGAACAGCCACAUUGGGACUGAGACACGGCCCAAACUCCUACGGGAGGCAGCAGUAGGGAAUUUUCGGCAAUGGAGGAAACUCUGACCGAGCAACGCCGCGUGAAUGACGAAGUACUUCGGUAUGUAAAGUUCUUUUAUCGAGGAAGAAAAGCAAAUGGCGAACCAUUUGUUUGCCGGUACUUGAUGAAUAAGCCCCGGCUAAUUAUGUGCCAGCAGCCGCGGUAAGACAUAAGGGGCAAGUGUUAUCCGGAAUUAUUGGGCGUAAAGGGUGCGUAGGCGGUCUAGUAAGUCAGUGGUGUAAUGGCAACGCUUAACGUUGUCCGGCUAUUGAAACUGCUAAACUUGAGUUAGAUAGAGGCGAGUGGAAUUCCAUGUGUAGCGGUAAAAUGCGUAAAUAUAUGGAGGAACACCAGAGGCGUAGGCGGCUCGCUGGGUCUUAACUGACGCUGAGGCACGAAAGCGUGGAGAGCAAACAGGAUUAGAUACCCUGGUAGUCCACGCCGUAAACGAUGAGUACUAAGUGUCGGGUUAAACCGGUACUGAAGUUAACACAUUAAGUACUCCGCCUGAGUAGUACGUACGCAAGUAUGAAACUUAAAGGAAUUGACGGGACUCCGCACAAGCGGUGGAUCAUGUUGUUUAAUUCGAAGAUACCCGAAAAACCUUACCAGGUCUUGACAUGUUUUUGCAAAAUGAUAGUAAUAUCGUGGAGGUUACCAGAAACACAGGUGGUGCAUGGUUGUCGUCAGCUCGUGUCGUGAGAUGUUAGGUUAAGUCCUAAAACGAGCGAAACCCUUAUCGUUAGUUGCCAGCACGUUAUGGUGGGGACUUUAACGAGACUGCCAAUGAUAAAUUGGAGGAAGGUGAGGAUCACGUCAAAUCAGCAUGCCCUUUAUGACCUGGGCUACAAACGUGAUACAAUGGCUGUUACAAAGGGUAGCUGAAACGCAAGUUCUUGGCCAAUCCCCAAAAACAGUCCCAGUCCGGAUUGAAGUCUGCAACUCGACUUCAUGAAGUUGGAAUCGCUAGUAAUCGCGAAUCAGCAUGUUGCGGUGAAUACGUUCUCGGGGUUUGUACACACCGCCCGUCAAACCACGAAAGUUGGCAAUACCCCAAAACGGUAGCCUAACUCGUUUAUUCGAGAGGGCGCCGUCUAAGGUAGGGUCGAUGAUUGGGGUUAAGUCGUAACAAGGUGUCCCUACCGGAAGGUGGGGAUGGAUCACCUCCUUUCU